rnacentral:rRNA from 1 species
GACGAACGCUGGCGGCGUGCUUAACACAUGCAAGUCGAACGGAAAGGCCCUGCUUUUGUGGGGUGCUCGAGUGGCGAACGGGUGAGUAACACGUGAGUAACCUGCCCUUGACUUUGGGAUAACUUCAGGAAACUGGGGCUAAUACCGGAUAGGAGCUCCUGCUGCAUGGUGGGGGUUGGAAAGUUUCGGCGGUUGGGGAUGGACUCGCGGCUUAUCAGCUUGUUGGUGUGGUAGUGGCUUACCAAGGCUUUGACGGGUAGCCGGCCUGAGAGGGUGACCGGCGACAUUGGGACUGAGAUACGGCCCAGACUCCUACGGGAGGCAGCAGUGGGGAAUAUUGCACAAUGGGCGGAAGCCUGAUGCAGCAACGCCGCGUGCGGGAUGACGGCCUUCGGGUUGUAAACCGCUUUCGCCUGUGACGAAGCGUGAGUGACGGUAAUGGGUAAAGAAGCACCGGCUAACUACGUG